UACGUAGGGGGCAAGCGUUAUCCAGAUUUACUGGGCGUAAAGCGCGUGUAGGCGGCUGGUUAGGUGUGAUGUGAAAUCUUCCGGCUCAACCGGAAAACUGCAUUGCAAACCGGCCUGGCUAGAGUGCAGGAGAGGGAAGCGGAAUUCCAGGUGUAGCGGUGAAAUGCGUAGAUAUCAAGUGGAACACCAGUGGCGAAGGCGAGUCUCUGGACAUUUCCUGACGCUGAGGCACGAAAGCCAGGGGAGCAAACGGG
rnacentral:rRNA from 1 species